UGGCUCAGAUGGUAAAGCGUCUGCCUGCAAUGCAGGAGACCCAGGUUCGAUCCCUGG
rfam:TPA: Bos taurus chromosome 11, whole genome shotgun sequence.